AUUGAACGCUGGCGGCAGGCCUAACACAUGCAAGUCGAGCGGAUGAAGGGAGCUUGCUCCUGGAUUCAGCGGCGGACGGGUGAGUAAUGCCUAGGAAUCUGCCUGGUAGUGGGGGAUAACGUCCGGAAACGGGCGCUAAUACCGCAUACGUCCUGAGGGAGAAAGUGGGGGAUCUUCGGACCUCACGCUAUCAGAUGAGCCUAGGUCGGAUUAGCUAGUUGGUGGGGUAAAGGCCUACCAAGGCGACGAUCCGUAACUGGUCUGAGAGGAUGACCAGUCACACUGGAACUGAGACACGGUCCAGACUCCUACGGGAGGCAGCAGUGGGGAAUAUUGGACAAUGGGCGAAAGCCUGAUCCAGCCAUGCCGCGUGUGUGAAGAAGGUCUUCGGAUUGUAAAGCACUUUAAGUUGGGAGGAAGGGCAGUAAGUUAAUACCUUGCUGUUUUGACGUUACCAACAGAAUAAGCGCCGGCUAACUUCGUG
rnacentral:rRNA from 1 species